rnacentral:rRNA from 1 species
AGAACGAACGCUGGCGGCAGGCUUAACACAUGCAAGUCGAACGGCUGUAGCAAUACAGCAGUGGCAGACGGGUGAGUAACACGUGGGAACCUUCCUCGGGGUACGGAACAACUCAGGGAAACUUGAGCUAAUACCGUAUACGUCCGUAAGGAGAAAGAUUCAUCGCCCCGAGACGGGCCCGCGUCGGAUUAGGUAGUUGGUGGGGUAACGGCCUACCAAGCCUACGAUCCGUAGCUGAUCUGAGAGGAUGAUCAGCCACACUGGGACUGAGACACGGCCCAGACUCCUACGGGAGGCAGCAGUGGGGAAUCUUGGACAAUGGGCGCAAGCCUGAUCCAGCCAUGCCGCGUGAGUGAAGAAGGCCUUAGGGUUGUAAAGCUCUUUUACCAGGGACGAUAAUGACGGUACCUGGAGAAUAAGCCCGGCAAACUUCGUGCCAGCAGCCGC